rnacentral:rRNA from 1 species
GUGUCAGCCGCCGCGGUAAUACGAAGGGUGCAAGCGUUAAUCGGAAUUACUGGGCGUAAAGGGUGCGUAGGCGGCCUUUUAAGUCGGAUGUGAAAUCCCCGGGCUCAACCUGGGAAUGGCAUCCGAUACUGGGAGGCUAGAGUUUGGGAGAGGGUGGUGGAAUUCCCGGUGUAGCGGUGAAAUGCGUAGAGAUCGGGAGGAACAUCAGUGGCGAAGGCGGCCACCUGGCCUAAAACUGACGCUGAAGCACGAAAGCGUGGGGAGCAAACAGGAUUAGAUACCCCCGUAGUCC